GGAAUAUAAGAACCCGUCUCUUAACUUUUAACUAAAAAAGUUAAGAACCGGCUCUUAAAACUCUUAUUUAAGAACCCGUUCUUAGCUUUUUUUAGUUAAAAGUUAAGAGACGGGUUCUUAUAUUCC
rnacentral:pre_miRNA from 1 species